CCCUUAGAUGUUCUGGGCCGCACGCGCGCUACACUGACGAUGGCAACGAGUUUUUCCUUCGCCGAAAGGUGUGGGUAAUCUUUUGAAACAUCGUCGUGCUGGGGAUAGAUCAUUGCAAUUUUUGAUCUUGAACGAGGAAUUCCUAGUAAGCGCGAGUCAUCAGCUCGCGUUGAUUACGUCCCUGCCCUUUGUACACACCGCCCGUCGCUACUACCGAUUGAAUGGUUUAGUGAGGACUCCUGAUUGGCGCCGCCGCCCCGGCAACGGAGCAGCGGACUGCCGAAAUGUUGUUCAAACUUGAUCAUUUAGAGGAAGUAAAAGUCGUAACA
rnacentral:rRNA from 1 species